rnacentral:rRNA from 1 species
UACGGGGGGGGUAAGCGUUGUUCGGAAUUACUGGGCGUAAAGGGCUCGUAGGCGGCCAACUAAGUCGGACGUGAAAUCCCUCAGCUUAACUGGGGAACUGCGUCCGAUACUGGAUGGCUUGGAUUUGGGAGAGGGAUGCGGAAUUCCAGGUGUAGCGGUGAAAUGCGUAGAUAUCUGGAGGAACACCGGUGGCGAAGGCGGUUCUCUGGGCAUUACCUGACGCUGAGGAGCGAAAGUGUGGGGAGCGAACAGG